AGGCUAUUGGGAAGUAACUAGGGGUGUCGGCCGAGUUCGGAUGUCUCCUUUUCUGAAGACCUGUUUAUCAAAUUCUCUCAGGCUGCCCCUGGCGAUGGAUUACUCACCCUUCAAGCUUGUGUGUUUCCCUUAGAGGCUUUUCAGUCAAACUAAGGGUAUUCUAGACCGGGAGGGAAAAAAAAAAAAAAAGUCUGCACCUCUUCUUCUUUUGUGUAAACUGUGAGCUGGAGCAAGUCUGUUCCUCUCUCUCUCCCUGGGCCCACAGCGCUCGGAGCUGCCAUAGGUCGGCUUGACGGAGGGAGGCAGGACCACGUCUCUGGUCUUUAAAAGGGUUGAGUGGUCAUGACUCAAAGGGUACACGUUUAUGGAGAUGAUCUCAUAGAAUCACGGGAGGAUCCGGCAGCAGCGUCUCGGUCUCCAUUCUCUAAAGGAGGAUAUUGAAACCCAAGUGUCUUCUUUAUUCCCUGCAUCCUGGGUGCCCCGCUGCAUGUCUCAUCUGCCACUUUGGAAAACCCAGAAGCAAGAAAGUCAUCCACUCCAGAAGAGUGUCGCUCUGCUCCUCCCGUCCCUUCUCGUAAACUCCAAAACGAACAGAACUCCAGAUGGUGCCUGUUUAUCUGUGGUUCUAACCCAAUUAGGACAAAUUAUCAUUUCUUCGGUUUGAUGUGUCUCCUGGGCAUCCUUAAACCGUCAACAAAAACCACACGGAGAUUGUAUUGUUUCAGCUUUUCCAUCAGCAACUUUUAUGAUCAGAUUUAGAAAUUGGUUGUAAAACAAAAACAAAAACAAAAAACAAACAAACAAAAACUCCCUCUGGCUUCAGCCCUCAACUUGGCAAUAGCAGACAGUUUCGUCCUCUCCUGUCCAAAAUGUAGAAGAAUUCCCCCCUGGGCAGUCUAAAGAGAGAAAGAGAAUGAGUGAGGUGCAAGUUUCUUGGCCUUUGAAAGGCCUUUCUCUUCUAAAUGAGGAUGUGUUCAUUCCGCUGGUACCGAGCAGAGGCAAAUAAAUGAACAGAUGGUAAAAAUAAAGCCGUCCUCCUAACUUAUCUUUUUGAGUUUUAAGAUGAAUGAUCCCAAGUCUAUGGAGUCGAAAUCCAGAGAAGAAAGGUCUCGUGAAUCUAGUGAAUAAAGAGAAUGUGAGUUAAUGAGCCCAGGGGUCAGCCUGGAGCAUCUAUUAUCCCAUUUGGAGCAGCGGAUCCCUACCAACCGCAGGUGGGCUUUGAGCAAAUGCCGUCACACUGAGACAUGGUGGUCUGUCUCCUGCCUGCCCACAGACGGCUGCCCAAAUCUCUCUUGCACUUUUAUUUCCAAAGAUGUUAUUGGUACUUUUUUUCUUCCAAUGGGUCAGGAUGGGGGGAGCCGUCUGGGUGACCGUGAGGGACAUGGUCACCAUCCAUGCUUCCUAGGCUUUCCAAGCAUUCAGAAGUUACUGGGUUCUUUCCCGCUGAUCCAUCACUCCUUCCCAGGAUGCACUUCAAGAGACACAAAAGAAGGGUCCUUCUUGAGGUGUCAAGUUGAGACUUGUUCGUUGCCCAAAGAGAACCUUUUCAGCAACAAUUACCACCUCAUCAUAAACACUCAGGAGAGACAUGAUGUAAAAAUGAAAUUACUGAAAACAUUUUUGGACUAACACUUGGCUUUAUAUAAACUCACAGACAAUCCUAUAAGGCACUCAAGCAGAUUAUGGGUUUGAGCAAAGCUGGAAAAUUGCUGCCAUUAUAUUGUUAUUAUUAACACCUUGUAAUUAGCCCUAAGGAAUCCCAAAGUUCUCUUUCUUGAUUUGGCUUUAAUGAAGGAAAAUUGCUACCUUCGCAAGUUGGAUGGCGCCCUUUCUGAUUAACCUUAAGUAUAGAGGACUAUUAUUUUGAAGAUGUUUGCCAUCAUGUGACUAUUAGCAUUACAUACUCCUGGGAAAGGGCUGGGGGUGGGGAAGGUGGAGAGGAAAUGGUCUUCUCGGCUCCUUUUUUUGUCCCCCUCCCCCCGCCACCCACCAAAGAAGGUGGGUGAAUCAUGGGUUUACUUCAGCUGUGGUCCUUGCUUGGAAGAUCAAGAAUGAAAGCCUGUGAAGGCCAUGACCGCAAACUCCCUGGUCUUUGCCAAGCUCCACUGGCAAGACUGUCGGCUGCCAGCUUCUCAACCUGUUGAUUGCCGAGGCUGGUGGGUAAUUGCACGGGGUGGUUUUACCAUUACCUUUAGAGUGACCCUACGGGGAUGAGAUCACCCGGGAGUUAGCACCUAGUGCAAUAAAGCAGGUUUUAUUUGCAUGUCCCAGAACUUUCCAGAGGCCCCUUCUGCAGCCUUCACAGGCACCGGGUCUCCAAUGAAACGCCGCCAACGUUAAUAAAAGAUCCCGCUGUAUAUCCCUCCCCUCCCCUCCCACAGGCACGACUUUAUUUUCAUUACCUUCUCUGGGAAAACCAUACAUUAAAGAGAACUCGUUUGAUCUUAUCUAUAAUUAAUUUGUAUUUUGAUAAUAUAGAGGAGGAAUUUUUACAUGUGAUGACUUACCUGUUCAUUAUUUUUCUCUUUUGAACUCCUGUGACCGCUUAAUAACUCAAGCUGAAGCCUGGCCCGAUUAUGACAUGUUCCCCACCCACCUUUCAGAGAGGCGAAGGUGUUGCCUCUCACACGGAGACAAAUUGCUUCAAAUAAUGACUUUGUGCGAAAUUAGUCAUACAUAAUUGAAAAAUUCUAUAGAUGAAUACCAAAGUAACUUGAGAUGAUCGGUUUACAUAGGUCUUCCUGCUGGAAACGGCUCUAUCUAACCAGGAGCUUGGCGGCUGCAAAAGUGGUUUUCUUGUUUGUGUGUUUGUUUUUCUCCCCUCUCCCCUCCUCACAAGAAGGCGGAACCGCUUCUUUCCAGGCAAGGAUGGUGCGAUGCUGUUUAUGCAGAAGCACGGCAACCACGGGGUACCAGUCCUGGGAAUGGCCAUGCUAGUUCCGCUUAACUGGCUGACAUCCCCCCAGUGGGAGAAGAGAGGUUGAUAUCUUGGAGCUAGAAAUUUCCUUCUGCCAAUCCUUCUCAAAGCUCACUAAAAAAGCAAUGGCAACCAUUCCACUUGUUUCUGGGAGCCAAAGUCUACUCGCCUCUCUGCCAACUGGGACAUCUCAUCUACCUCCCUAGCCGGCUUCUCAAUGGGAGACACAUUCACCACUAUCUCCUCUUCGUGAAACAGAGUUGGCGCCUCUGUGUUCAAAAUACCAGCCUGAGAUAGUGGGCCAGCACCACGUGCACAGACCUGGAGGUGAAUCCCACCUUGGUCUCUAACUAGGUGGGCCCCUCUGGACAAAUCUCUUAAACAGCCCAGCUCGUAGGGUUUUUUGUAAACCUGAAAAAGGAUAUAAGAAAGAUUAAACCUUGGUGUUCCUGUCAUGGCUCAGUGGUUAAUGAAUCCGACUAGGAACCAUGAGGUUGUGUGUUCGAUCCCUGGCCCUGCUCAGUGGGUUAAGGAUCCGGCGUUGCCGUGAACUGUCGUGUAGGUCGCAUAUGCGUCUCGAAUCCCAAAUUGCUGUGACUGUGGUGUAGCUUCGAUUAGACCCCUAGCCUGGGAACCUCCAUAUGCCUCAGGUACGGCCCUAGAAAAG
rnacentral:lncRNA from 1 species